AGAAUAGCACCAGGUGAGGCAAAUUCUUGCUAUUAGCAAGGCAAUACAGGGCUAUUUAACAGUAUCACGUGACUGCAUACACUGUUCAACUAAAGCGCACGUAUGUUCUCUAACUAACAACAACUGAGACAAAUUAAAGCGCGAUUAUCUGAACUAACGCACAACCAUGUUCUCUAACUAGCAACAGCUGAGACAAAUUAAAGAGCGAUUAUCUGAACUAACGCACAACUAUGUUCUCUAACUAACAACAGCAGAAACAAAUUAAGUAUAGAUACGGGUACCCUAAACGCGAAAUAGUAGCGACGACACAAUCAGACGCACAGUUCAGGAAAAGUUAGGAGAAGCGAAGUUCAGAAUCUGCAGCAUCCAUUGUUGAUUAUUAGAAAUAUUGCUGUUCUCGGUGAGGUAUUGCACAGCGUCAGUCAGAGACCCUGUGCGUGCAUCCAUAUAACCACGCACACAUACCAUCUCUGCGGACAAAGGAAGCAGGUUGUAUUCACGUUUAUUGAAGAGACGGAAGUUUUCAUGCAUUCUUACUGGGUGCCUCACAGAGAUUACAUUGUUACCCCAGCCAUUUGAUGAGAAGAUGUUGGAAAGUAAUAUGCUCUGGCCCGCUUCCAGCUAGUAGGAGCGACGAGGUCCUGUCAAUCAGCUGUGACCCCACUUUACAUGGGCUGGCUCUUGAUAGGCGGGUUACCCCAGGCUGGUACGUAUCGCUCGUAUCUGAUCUGGGGGAGACUGGAGGAGGCCCCAAGAUGUAGACCCUUCUCAGGCUUGACUCGGGUGGUUGGGCUACCUAGCGGUGUUAACAAAAACCACUUGGGUCUAGCAAGAUAAGUAUCCAGCCCCCCUGGGUCCACUUGGACAGCACGCAGGGUGUGGUGGUCUGGGGCCACAGACCUUAAAUGGUGCCCAAUUUUCUAUUGGUGACUAGCACCACCCACACACCAGACCAUCAUGCACUACACGCGUGAAUUGGACUAACCAAGACCAGUUUGGGCUCUUUCAAAUUUCUUCACCCCUCUAAAUUGUCGCGUUUCGGGAAAAUACCAGCAGGGCAUGUAGAAGAAAGAUGGACCUAAAAAAACAGUUUAAAAAGAAUUACACUUACCGUAAGUAUUUCGAUGAGAACUCAAAAAAUCCUUCAGGCGAUGCCAAAAUCUGAAAAAGAAAAACAGAAGUUAGGAUUAUUAACACCCACAGAUUGAUGAAAAGUUAAAAACAAGGCAGCACCCAGGACCUAAAAUAUAAACCAGACUAAUGUAUUAUCAAUAAGCUUACUGUAACCUUGGCAAGGACAUUUUACAUUUAUAAAAAUCCAGGACCUAAAAGUUAUCAACUUAAAUGUUAUUAGUCCAAGUACUAAUACAAAUCUACAAUAGCAAAACUAAAAUUUCUUGGCCUGAUACUAUGACCCUUACAUAAUUGCACAUGGGACACAAGUUGGGGCUUGAUCAGCCCAGGCUGGCUGCCUCAGAGGAUGGUGUAUACAGUUUAAAGACCGAAAAACCUGAUGAUUCUGAGGUACCUUACUGAUAACGUGUCCUAAAAUACUCAGGAACAUAAAAAUAGAAUUCACCAAAAACCUUAAUUAACAUCAACAAACCAAAAUAAGAUAAAACUUAAAAUAUUCCAAGUAGAUAAUAUAAAAUGUUAAUUAAGAAAAAACUUUUAGAAUGAGGUGUGUUACUCCAGUGCUAGCGUCGCUUCAUGCAUGUAUGUGCGUGCAUGUCUGUGCAUCUGUGCAAGUGUGUGUGUGCAUGCACACAGAGGAGGUGCCUUUUUCUAUUUUUUGCCCAUGCCCCUUCGAGAGUUUGUGUACCCCGCUGUUGUGGUCAGAUGGAUUUCAGUUCACAAUCAAAGAAACAUCUGUUUAAUGACCUGGAUGCACAGUAUGUCUAAGAAAACAUUCCUGAAAAAACAGCCCAGCUGUGAUUCACAUUAGAUUAGUGGAUUACAUUUGUUUCCAACAGUUUUUGGUGCCAACAGGUUUUGACCUGGUCUUGUUAUGUUUACUUUUGGAACCCUGACCUGGACAUAAAAUUGACCUUGAGGGUCAGCCCGCAUCUGCUGAACGUCUUCCUGGAUUUCUUUGGCACAGGUGUCCUGGGCAGUCUGUCUAUGUUCUGUGCUUUGGAAGGAAAGACAGCAGCUUAAAAUUGCCAAAACGGUUUGCUACUCAAAUUUCCAUUCUCUGAAUUAAAAACCUUUUCUUACAAUGAUGUGAAGACAGGGGCAUAGUUUGAGUUUGACAUUGAGGUGACACCGGUGGACAUUUUCUCCCCAGCCCCUAUCCCCCCCCUACAGUAAAUAGUGGAAAAUUUGUUCAACCAGAGCCAGCUAUGGUCAUUAACGAUACAGACGCAUGCUAGCCUCAUCCAUUCUCACCUGUAAGAGCUGGCUUGGUUGUUUAUUUUCUUUAAUGUAUGAGGUACAGUAUUUCCUGGAGUAAUAGGCUAACAGUAGAAACCUCACCUUACAGGCGGACAUGGUGGCAUGGUGAUUAGCACUGUCACCUCACAGCAAGAAAGUUGCGGGUUCGACUCUUGGCUUUGGGCCUUUCUGUGCGGAGUUUGUUCUCCCAGUGUUCGCAUGGGUUUACUUCG